rnacentral:rRNA from 1 species
GAAGGUUAGAUAGGAACUUCUGGUGCACCCCACUUUCCAUGGUUUGAAGGUGGCAAAGACGCGAAAAGGUGUUUUGAAGUUUGAACGCUGGCGGCAGGCCUAACACAUGCAAGUCGAGCGGAUGACGGGACAUUGUAGGAGUUGUGUAGCCCAAGCCGUUGAGUAAUGCCUAGGAAUCUGCCUGGUAGUGGGGGACAACGUUUCGAAAGGAACGCUAAUAAGGGCCAUGACCUACGGGAGAAAGCAGGGGACCUUCGGGCCUUGCGCUAUCAGAUGAGCCGAGUUUAAACUUUGCGGCCGUAGGUCGGAUUAGCUAGUUGCGAGCGGACGACAGCCAUCCAGCACGUGUCUCAAUGGUCCCUGAGAGGAUGAUCAGUCACACUGGAACUGAAGGACAAAGGUUGCGGUCGCGGGAGGCAGCAGUGGGGAAUAUUGGACAAUGGGCGAAAGCCUGAUCCAGCCAUGCCGCGUGUGUGAAGACCCCACUCCUGCCUCUCGUAGGAGUCGGGACCGUGCCUCAGUUUCAGGGUAAUACCUUGCUGUUUUGACGUUACCGACAGAAUAAGCACCGGCUAACUCUGUGCCAGCAGGAAUUAAAGCACAUGCUCCACGCGGUAAUACAGAGGGUGCAAGCGUUAAUCGGAAUUACUGGGCGUAAAGACAUUGGUUAUGGUUCGUUAAGUUGGAUGUGAAAGCCCCGACUAGCAAAUCCGACCUCGGGGCUCAACCUGGGAACUGCAUCCAAAACUGGCGAGCUAGAGUACGGUAGAUUUGCUGCCCACGCUGUCGCACCUCAAUGUCAGUACCAGUCCAGGUUGUCACACCAGUGGCGAAGGCGACCACCUGGACUGAUACUGACACUGAGUGCGAAAAGACGCCC